UACAGAGGUCUCAAGCGUUGUUCGGAUUCAUUGGGCGUAAAGGGUGCGUAGGUGGCGCGCUAAGUCAGGUGUGAAAUUUCGGAGCUUAACUCCGAAACUGCAUUCGAUACUGCCGUGCUUGAGGACUGGAGAGGAGACUGGAAUUUACGGUGUAGCAGUGAAAUGCGUAGAUAUCGUAAGGAAGACCAGUGGCGAAGGCGGGUCUCUGGACAGUUCCUGACACUGAGGCACGAAGGCCAGGGGAGCAAACGGG
rnacentral:rRNA from 1 species